rnacentral:rRNA from 1 species
GGAGCUAGCGUUGUUCGGAAAUACUGGGCGUAAAGCGCACGUAGGCGGCGCAGCAAGUCAGGGGUGAAAUCCCGGGGCUCAACCCCGGAACUGCCCUUGAAACUGCAGUGCUAGAAUUCUGGAGAGGCGAGUGGAAUUCCGAGUGUAGAGGUGAAAUUCGUAGAUAUUCGGAAGAACACCAGUGGCGAAGGCGACUCGCUGGACAGACAUUGACGCUGAGGUGCGAAAGCGUGGGGAGCAAACAGG